UCUCCGUAGGUGAACCUGCGGAGGGAUCAUUACAAGUGAACCCGGUCUUACCACCGUGAUGUUCGUAACCCUUUGUUGUCCGACGCUGUUGCCUCCGGGUCGACCCUGCCUUCGGGCGGGGGCGCCGGGUGGACACUUCAAACUCUUUCUUAACUUUUCAGUCUGAGUAAACUUAAUUAAUAAAUUAAAACUUUUAACAACGGAUCUCUUGGUUCUG
rnacentral:misc_RNA from 1 species